CCCUUAGAUGUCCUGGGCCGCACGCGCGUUACACUGAUGCAUUCAACGAGCUUAUAACCUUGGCCGAGAGGCCUGGGCAAUCUUGUUAACGUGCAUCGUGAUAGGGAUAGAUUAUUGAAAUUAUUAAUCUUGAACGAGGAAUUCCCAGUAAGUGCGAGUCAUCAGCUCGCGUUGAUUACGUCCCUGCCCUUUGUACACACCGCCCGUCGCUACUACCGAUUGGGAAAAUUUUAGAGAGUCCUGGACUGAUGAUUGUUCGGCUUCACGGCCUUACUUUCGUCGGGAAAGAAUUCGAUAAUAUUUUUCUAGAGGAAGUAAAAGUCGUAACA
rnacentral:rRNA from 1 species